CGGGGGACGCGGAAGAAAGAAAGGUGUGCAAGGCGAUAAAAACGUGUUAUAACAAUGAAAGUUGGCAAGGAACGCGACGAACACAAAGAAGAACAGAGGGGGGGAAAAAAACCCUGGAAAAAUAAGAGAAAAGUAGGAUGAUGAGGAGUGAAGGUGGAGGGAGGGAGGGGAAUGGGUGUGGGGAGGAGAGGUAAGGAGAGGAAGAAAAGCAUAAUUAUGAUGUCGAGGAAGGAGGAGGAGGAGGGAGUGGUGGAGGGUGAGAUGCAAGGAGGAGGAGAAAGGAAGUAAAAGUGAUAAAGAUGAUAAUUUAAAAACAGGAUGGCGAGGGUGGGACGAGUGUCAGGCGAGGUGUGAAAGAUAGAAAAUAAGCAGGAAAGAAAGUAAGCAAGUAUAUGAUGAUGGAGAUGAGGAGGGGGCGGCGGAUGAGGUGUGAGAACAGGAAAAGAAGAAAAGGAAAGUAAGAAAGUAGAUAAAGAAAAUGAAAAAGGGACGAUGCAAGAGGUGGAAGAACAAGAAAAGAAGAAAAGGAAAGUAAGAAAGUAGAUAAAGAAAAUGAAAAAGGGACGAUGGAAGAGGUGGAAGAACAAGAAAAGAAGAAAAGGAAAGUAAGAAAGUAGAUAAAGAAAAUGAAAAAGGGACGAUGGAAGAGGUGGAAGAACAAGAAAAGAAGAAAAGGAAAGUAAGAAAGUAGAUAAAGUAAAUGAAAAAGGGACGAUGCAAGAGGUGGAAGAACAAGAAAAGAAGAAAAGGAAAGUAAGAAAGUAGAUAAAGAAAAUGAAAAAGGGACGAUGGAAGAGGUGGAAGAACAAGAAAAGAAGAAAAGGAAAGUAAGAAAGUAGAUAAAGAAAAUGAAAAAGGGACGAUGGAAGAGGUGGAAGAACAAGAAAAGAAGAAAAGGAAAGUAAGAAAGUAGAUAAAGAAAAUGAAAAAGGGACGAUGGAAGAGGUGGAAGAACAAGAAAAGAAGAAAAGGAAAGUAAGAAAGUAGAUAAAGAAAAUGAAAAAGGGACGAUGGAAGAGGUGGAAGAACAAGAAAAGAAGAAAAGGAAAGUAAGAAAGUAGAUAAAGAAAAUGAAAAAGGGACGAUGGAAGAGGUGGAAGAACAAGAAAAGAAGAAAAGGAAAGUAAGAAAGUAGAUAAAGAAAAUGAAAAAGGGACGAUGGAAGAGGUGGAAGAACAAGAAAAGAAGAAAAGGAAAGUAAGAAAGUAGAUAAAGAAAAUGAAAAAGGGACGAUGGAAGAGGUGGAAGAACAGGAAAAGAAGAAAAAUAAAUUAAGAAAGAAUAAAAAGAAAAUGAGAAAGGAACAACGCAAAAGGUCUUAAGAAAAGAAAAGAAAAAGAAAGUAAAAAAAUAUAUAAAGAAAAUGAGAAGGGAACGAUGCAAGAGGUGUUAGAACAAGAAAAGAAGAAAAAUAUAAGAAAAUACCGAAGGAAAAUUAAAUAGGAGUGUCAGGAAGGAAAGAACCAUGAAAACAAAAAAUAUCUAUUGAACGAGGUGGAAGAAAAGGAGGAAAACGAAGGAAGAAAAUCAUGAAGGAAAAUUGAAAUGGAGUGGCGGAUGAGGUGCAACAGGAAGAAAAGAACCAUGAAAAUAAGGAAAUCUGUAUUGAGAAUGGAAGGAACGAUGGACGAGGUGGAAGAAGAGGAGGAAAACGAAGUAAGAAAAUAAUGAAGGAAAAUUAAAAUGGAGUGGCGGGUGAGGUGUGAGACGGAGAGGAAAAGCAAAAAGAAAAGAAAAAAAAUAAUGGAGGACGAUAAAAGUGCAUGAGAAGUAAUAUGAAGGAAAAAAGUUUGAAAAUAAUGAAGGAAAAUUAAAAUGGAGUGGCGGGUGAGGUGUGAGACGGAGAGGAAAGGCAAAAAGAAAGAAAAAAAUAAUGUUGGACGAUAAUAAGAGUGCAUGAUGAUGAAGUAAAAUUAAGCAAAAAAAAGUAAGAAAAUAAUGAAAGUAAGAUGACGAGAGAGCGAUUAAUGAGGUGUUAGAACAAGGAAAUCAGCAGAGAGAGAGAGAGAGAGAGAGAGAGAGAGAGAGAGAGAGAGAAUAAAGAUGACAAGAGAGCGGUGGAUGCAAAAUAAACAGGAAGAAAAUGAGAAAAAAAAAGAAAGGAAUGAAGUCGAGAGAGCGGUGGACGAACUGUAAGAUGGAAAAAAAAAGCAGAAUUAUAAGAAAACAAUAAUUAAGACAAAAAAAAAAAACGGUGAAUGAAGUGAAAAAUAGAAGAAAAAAGUAAGAAAACAAUGAAUGAAAUGAAGGAUGAGGUGAGCGAGGUCGUGUAAGGAGAGAGAGA